CUAUUUAUGUAAUAUAUAUAUAUAUGUACAUGCAGUGUAUAUACGUAAGCGUAGUUACUUGCAGCAGCAGCCGUACGAAAUGAAGUGAAUUAUCGUAACGCUCCUCCGUGGAGAAAUACGUCAUCCAUCACGGGCCAAGAUUGGGUUGAUAAAAUAUGCUGAUGAGUGUAUACGCGCGGCUGCUUCGAACAUUUUUGUCUUCCCGUUGCUUCACGAAAAGUCAGGCUAAUGAUUCUCAGCGCGGGGUCUUUUCUUUCUCUCGAGAUAUACCUAUAGAUACUGCAACACUCUCUAUUGCUGCUGUCGGCCUCGUUUAUUUCAACAAAAAAAAACAUUUCUGCCAACCAGCAAUGCAGAAAGUUUAUUUUCAAAUUGUCAAGACUGCCUUAUAUAUUUUUUCUGCCAACGCAACUAUGUGUUUAUCAAUAUAUAGUAUACAUAGUCUU